rnacentral:lncRNA from 1 species
UUGUAACGAUUCUUGCUUGAAAAUGUUGCUUUUGCUCGAGUAUCUUUAAAAUCUCCAGGCGUGGGUAUGUGGUAAAAAGCUUGCUUCCCGUCCACAUAGUUCCGAGUUCAGUUCCACUGCGUGUCACCUUCAGCAAGUGUCUUCUACUCUAUCCUGUGUGUGGAUUUGGUAGACGGAAAUGGAAAGAAGCCUGUCGUAUUUGUGUGUAUGUAUAUGUGUGUGUGUGUGUGUGUGUGUGUGUGUGUGUGUGAGAGAGAGAGAGAGAGAGAGAGAGAGAGAGAGAGCGUGUGUGUGUGUAUGUGUGUUUGUUUGUGUGCUUGUAUAUAUGUGUGUGUGUCUGUGUUUGUCCCCAUCACUGCUUAACAACCGGUGCUGAUGUGUUUACGCCCCCGUAACUUAGCAGUUCGGCAAAAGCGUCUGACAGAAUAAGUACAAGGUUCAAAAGCUUCAAAUUAUUGGGAUGUAGCAUUACGUUCAAGGUAACCGCUUUGCCAAAAAACCCCAAUACUUGACAAUCCAGAUAUUUAUAUCUCUUACCUUUUUUUGUUUCAGUUAUUAGACUGCAACCAUGCUGGGGCACGAACAAAUAGACCCCAGUACUUUAUUUAUUUGUAAAACCUGGUACUUAUUUUAUCGGUCUCUUUUGCCAAACCUCUAAGUUACUUGGGCGUAAUCACAUCAACGCCGGUUGCGAAGCGGUGGUGGGAGACAAACACACACACACACUCUCUCUCUUUCUCUCUCUCUCUCUCUCUCUCUCUCUCUCUCUCUCACACACACACACACACACAUACACACACACACACAUAUAUAUAUAUGAUGGGCUUCUCUCAGUUUCAGUCGACCAAAUCCACUCACAGGGCUUUGGUCGGCCCAUGGCUAUAGUAAAAAACACUCGCCCAAUAUGCCACGUAGUGGGACUGAACCCGGAACCACGUAGCUGGAAAGUAAACUUCAUACCGCACAGUCUGCGUAUAAUGUGUGUGUGUGUGUGUGUGUGUGUGUGUGCCUGCCUGAUCAGAAAUGGAUGGGCGUUCCAAGCUGAAAUGCCUUUGAUCGUUCUUAUACUCGAUGAUAACUUAUCUCGGGUUGUACAACGUAACAAGUGCCCGAGUGCAUAAAUGAUUUUAAAUCCAGUAUAUAUACAUUCAUAUACAUAUGCAUACUCAUGCAUACUCAUACAUACAAUCAUACACGUAUACAUACACAAAAAACAAGCACACUGUCUGUACACACCUACAUUCAUACAUAGACACAUAGGACGUUUCACCACAGAGAAUGUUGGCGGAACAUUCCCUUUAAAAGUUCUGCCAACCAAGUACAAACCUAACACACCUGGUAUCAUUCCAAGACAUUUCUGAAAUAACUCUUCUCAAAUAAUUCUUCCCUGUUAUUGUAAUGUAAAUUUUAAUGAUGGCAUUUGGUUUCAUUUUUCUCUUUGCUUUGAGGUAUAUAUAAUUGAUUGAAGCCAUCCCCUCGUAAAUUGAUUGAAACUACCUCCUCAUAAACUGAUCGAUCCCGUAAGAUAAAAUUCAUAAUCGAACCGACAGUGUUCGAACUUAGGACCUAUUGAAUGAGACUAAAUUCCGUAAAGCACUUAGUAGGAUGCUCUGCUGUUUUUGUUUAUUUAUCAGCCGUCAGUCAACACUAAAGACUCAUGCUCACUCUACUACAACUCAUCACCAUAACUGUUUACUUUCUGUUUACCUUCAGUCAACGAUAUCAACUCGUGCGAGCCACUAUAUCAGCUCAUCACAUUUACUUCUAAAAAGCUUUCUCACAUCAACUAUCACUGUAAAUUCUUAUGUUGUUACUGUCUAGCUUUCGAUUAGCCCCAUCUGAUCAAGUAGACCUAUGAUUACAGGCAUUCCAGCCUGAUCACACAAACACACACGCACACGCACGCGCGCACAUAUAUUCCACAGGACCCCUUUUUCUCUGUUGAUUUUUUUACCAAUAAACUUAAAAAGUAUUCAUUGAGCUGUGAAGGGUUCAGAUGUGUAAACAAUAGACUGGUCGUGAAAUGAGUGUGCAAACUUAUUUCGACUUAAGUCUAGAGUUAAUUCGCUUCAGUUAAUUCAUUACCAUAUUUAUGUUGAAACACGCUGCCUUUGCAUCAUUUUAUUUCGAAAACAAUGAAGAAUUUCAGUCAGAGAUCUGUUUGCAGAUCUUCCCAUUCGGGAUCUGUCCUUAUUAAGCUGAUGUUUGGGACAUAAAUUAGCAUGAAAUGUUUUUAUUUGGAUCACUUUAAAACAGAAAGUUUGUAUCCUAGAACUAAGGGACAGUCUUAUGCGAAUUUCUAUCAGAAGAAUUAAAUAUACCUGAGAAAGGCAUGCAUACCAAUCUCCCUAAGAAGCUGUAACCCUGUACCUAAGUUAGAAAUCAAUAAAUUUACUAAGGAGCAAAUGUUGUGUGAGUGAGAAAUUGAACAUCUCUAUCGUUCAAAUACAACACAAUUUUUUGUUGUGUUUUUGUUGUGUUUUAGUAAUAUUCUACGUUCCUUGUUUCAUUUUGUUGGGAACUGAACAGGUAACAGAAUAGGUAGCAAAACAGGAUACAGAACAGCAUAAAAUUUCUGAGUCGUCGAAUUGACGAAUAGAGAUUGAUUUAUUGUCUAGACAAUAAAUCCCAAAAUACUCAAUAUGAAAGACCAUCUGGUCACAGUAAGUUGCUGCAGUAAACUUCAGUCCACUCAGGUUAUGUUAGUACAUGUUCAGAUAUUCAGAUACAGCUAUAUCACCCCAGAAUAUUCUAUGAACGACAUUUUAAGAACCUCGUCCGUCUCACUCUUUCUCCGAACAUACUCAAGAAUCGUUUAGUGAGAAAAAUAACAACGAUACCAUUAAUCUUAUUGUUCCGAAACAAGUUACUCUGUUAUAUACAUCGACAAGUAAAGAAAUAAAUACAGCGAUCCGACGAUCUAGUCCACCUUGCCCUGAUCCACUGCCACUAUCAUCACAAUCUAUUGGCAACUAUAGUAUCUCGCUUAAACGCUGUACUUGCUUUUAAUAGUAGUCAAAUUAUUUUAAAACGGUCAUGUUCGACAAUGUAGUUGUAAAUAUACAAAAUAGAUGAAAUGGUCACGACUGGAACGCUUUGAUCAUAUGUCUACUCCGAACUUACUUGGGACUAAAGUACGAAAAUAACUGGCGUAAAGGAGAUGGAGGAAGGAACAUAUUUAGAAAAUAAAGAUGCGGAACGUAACGUGUCCUGUCUUUUGCACCAAAAUCGGAAUUCACAAUAUGAAGUUUUGGUCAUCCAGAAUCGUGGUAUUUCGAGAGCACUGGAUAAGCUUGCCCAGUUAUUCUUGCACCGCAUUAAGACCGGUCUUAAGUUUUCUCGAUUACGCUAGUAUAGUGUAGUCGUAAGGUCUCUACAACAGUAAUACAACUAAUAAUUAUAAAGCAGAUUCGAUAGAAGUGUCAGUGUCUUCAAAACAGAGAAAUAAAAAGAAAGAACUUAAGAAUUAAGUAAAGACCAAAAAAGAAAUCAAAUCAAUCGACUAUUCAAUUGAUUGAUUACAUAAAAGGUUCAUUAAUUACUUAUUUCUUUAUUACCCACAAGGUAAAGUCGACCUUCGGUGGAAUUUGAACUCAGAACUUAACGGCAGCCGAAAUACCUAUUUCUUUAUUACCCACAAGGGGCUAAAUAUAGAGGGGACAAACAAGGACAGACAAAGGGAUUAAGUCGAUUAAAUCGACUCCAGUGCGUAACUGGUACUUAAUUUAUCGACCUCAAAAGGAUGAAAGGCAAAAUCGACCUCGGCGGAAUUUGAACUCAGAACGUAGCCGAAAUACCGCUAAGCAUUUUGCCCGGUGUGCUAACGAUUCAGUUAGCUCGCCGCCUAAGGUUGGUUUAUUACUGACUGUGACAAAGGGAACAAAUUCUGCGCGAAUUUAAAAAUCUGAAAUAAAAGUAAUCAAGAUGACAAAAACUUCUAAGUGUUUCGAUUAUGACGAGGGUUCGAGUUGAUCUGAUAAUCGAUACAACCUGCGCUGAGUACUCCACAGAUACGCGUGCCCUUAACGUAAUCCUCAGAGAGAUUCAGCGUGAUGCAGAAUGUUAUUGUAUACUGUUGUAGAGACCUUACGACUACACUAUACUAGCGUAAUCGAGAAAACGUAAGACCGGUCAUAAUGCGGUGCAAGAAUAACUGGGCAAGCUUAUCCAGUGCUCUCGAAAUACCACGAUUCUGGAUGACCAAAACUUCAUAUUGUGAAUUUCGAUUCUGGUGCAAAGGACAGGACACGUUACGUUCUGCAUCUUUAUUUUCUAAAUAUGUUCCUUCCUCCAUCUCUUUUAUGCCAGUUAUUUUCGUACUUUAGUCCCAAGUAAGUUCGGAGUAGACAUAUGAUCAAAGCGUUCCAGUCGUGACCAUUUCAUCUAUUUUGUAUAUUUACAAUUACAUUGUCGAACAUGACCUUUUUCAAGACGGCAGAUGUGAUUUAAAAUAAUUUGGCUACUAUUUAAAGCAUGUACAGCGUUUAAGCGAGACACUAUAGUUGACUUUUUGAAUUACGGGUACUACGCAUUUUUACCAGCUGAGUGGACUGGAGAAACGUGAACAAGGACACAAAGCGCCGCCGGGAAUCGAACUCACGUCCUUAUCAUCGUAAGCUGAAUUCCCUAACCACUCAGUUAUGCGCCUUCACUCAUAGCGACAGCAUAUUAGUGAGCAGCAUCCCGCGAAAUAAUGAGAGAGAUAGUUUAUAUCUUUGAACCGCUACGACAUGCCAACAACCUGAAGCAGUUGCAGAAUGCAAUAAUAAUAAUAACUAGGCCACAUGCUUUCAUAGUUUUCUACAAAUAGUUUGGUAUCUUUACUUGUUUCAGUCAUUGGACUGUGACCAUACUGGGACACUACUUUAAAGGGUUUCAUCACACAAAUCAACCCGGUACUUAUGUUUCAAGUUGGGUACUUAUUCAAAUGAACCUUCUCUGUCGAACUGCUAAGUUACAGGGACAUAAACAAAGCUAACACAAAGUUGUCCAAGUGGUGGUGGAAGGACAAACACACACACACACACACAGACACACACACACACACACACACACACACACACACACACACACACACACACAUACAACGGGCUUCUUUCAGUUGCCAUCUACCAAAUAUACUCAAAGAUUUUAGUUGGUUUGGGGCUAGAGUAAAAGACACUUGCCCAAGGUGUCAUUCAGUGGGACUGAACCUAAGACCAUAUGGUUCUGAAGCAAGCUUCUCAACCACACAACCAAAAGUAAAAACUAAUUAUCCCCAAGAUGUAAAAACUAAUUAUCCCCAAGAUGUUUGCAAUUAAUGAAGUUAAUUUAUAUUACAGAUUAUUAUUAUAUAUGAAUGAUAAUAAUAAUUUCUUAUUUAGGUAGUGGGCCAGACAUUUUUGACGUUGGCAAAGGGAGAACAGUCGAUUUGAUCAACCUCAGUAUUUGACUGGUAUCUCACAUUCUAGAAAAUUUUACCAUAGCCUUGGGAAGAAGACACAAGCUUUGUGAAUGGAAUUGAAUUAGAUUAACGAAAACUGUAUAGAAGAUUGUCGGGUGGACUGUGCGUAUAAUUUAAAGGUCCAAGCUUGACACAUUGUUCUGCCUGAAAUUACGUGUUUGUGGCAUACGUAAUACUUAAACAGAAAUUCAAUGUGCUGGUAAUAACGCUGUUAGAACGAUUAGGAUACUCAUCGUUAAAAUCGACGGAGAUCCGUGUAUAAUAAAGUGUACGCUAUAAAAAUACAUAUUUCUCAUAAUACACAAAAGUAAGUUUGUCUCUAUAAUGUAUAAAGUAUGGAACGAAAACUGGAGAACAACAGAACAAUGGUAUUCUUAACUUCUAUUCUGCCUCCGUCCCAUACACACAUUGUAUAUGUUUUAUUAUAGACACACUUUACUGUGGGUAUAUUUUUCAUACAAAGACGAGAUGCUGUAAUAAAGGAAGCAAACAAGUUUUAGCAUUUCGCUUUUGAAGUUCCGCGACCCUAAAUAGUCAUUAUGCUACUUGAGAAACUAUUGGUAGAAACAGAACCGACGUUAAAGGUUGUGGGAGGCGGGGGGGGGGUCUCAAAAGAAAUAAUGUUGGUUGGGCAGACAACCCAUUCUUGUAAAGGACACUCACUUUAGAUGCGUUAAACCUCAGCGUCAUUAGUGUAUAGAUAACGAUAAUAGAGGGUUCUAACAGACAUAUAAAUAGGUAGAGAGAAGUAGGUAGAAAGAUAGAUAGAUAGAUAGAUAGAUAGAUAGAUAGAUAGAUAGAUAUGUAAAUAGAUAGAUAGAUAGAUAGAUAGAUAGAUAGAUAGAUAUGUAAAUAGAUAGAUAGAUAAAGCAGAGACAGAAAAUUGUAGGGGGAGGGGAUAGCGGAUAUGAUUCAAACGACCUCAAUACUUAACUGGUAUCUGUUUCAUAUUAUGGCCCCUGAAAGAUUGGAAAUCGAAAGUUGAUCUUUAUAUGUAUAUAUAUAUAUAGAACGCCAUGAUGGACCGUUUGCUCCUACACGCAUUUUUUUCUCUCCUUGUUUCUUUUCUGUGUAUCUUUCUCUCGAAGAGCGUAGGCUCGAAACGUAAAAGACUUGUUCUAUUUCUAUUCCUGAGCGCCAUACUAAUACAUUUAUUUGUUUGUACUCCACCUGCCUUCGUCUUUUGUUUAUUUUCGUAAACCUUCCCGUUAUAUAUAUAUAUAUAUAUGUAUAUCCGGUGUAGGGUGUUAAUAUCCCCAUGAUUUAGUGGUUCGGCCUAAAUUGACCGAUAGAAUAUGCACUAGGCUUUAAAAAAAAUUAAAUAUACCGCACAUGUACACACGCUGAUUCAAUCGACUCAAAAUUGUUAAAGGCGGUGUCCCAGCAUGACCGCAGUCUAAUGACUGAAUCAAGUAACAAUUCAAAGAUAAAACAUGAAGUACCGGAGCAAAUUUUGCAAGGCAUCUCGCCCUAGGUUGUAGCCAUUUUGCCAACCCUUUGUUGUGGGUGGUCUCGAUUACAAUAUAUAUAUAUAUUCUUUUACUUGUUCCAGUCAUUUAACUGCGGCCAUGCUGGAGCACCGCCUUUAGCCGAGCAAAUCGACCCCAGGACUUAUUCUUUGUAAGCCUAGUACUUAUUCUAUCGGUCUCUUUCACCGUAACGCUAAGUUACGAGGAACUAAACACACCAGCAUCGGUUGUCAAGCGAUGGUGGGGGAACAAACAUACACACACAAACACACAUAUCCAUAUAUUUAUAUAUACGACAGGGUUCUUUCAGUUUCCGUCGACCAAAUCCACUCACAAGACUUGAUAUGAAAAUUCUCCCAAACAAGUCAGAGAUCUGUUUGCAGAUCUUCCCAUUCGGGAUCAGUUGCUUAAAAGCUAUAUAACUUGCUUACCAACCACAUGGUUCUUGGUUCUGCAAACAGAUCUCUGACUUGUUUGGGAGAAUUUGUUGCAAUUGGUUCCUCCAGAAUCAUAUCCCAAUGAUGAUCAUACUUGUCGCAAAAAACAUACAAACAAAUCGCCGAAAACAAUCGCAGAUAUGAAAACAUA